UACAGAGGGUGCGAGCGUUAAUCGGAAUUACUGGGCGUAAAGCGCGCGUAGGCGGCUUUGCAAGUCGGGUGUGAAAUCCCCAGGCUCAACCUGGGAACUGCAUUCGAGACUGCAUUGCUAGAGUAUGGGAGAGGGAAGUGGAAUUUCCGGUGUAGCGGUGAAAUGCGUAGAUAUCGGAAGGAACAUCAGUGGCGAAAGCGACUUCGUGGACCAAUACUGACGCUCAUGUGCGAAAGCGUGGGGAGCAAACAGG
rnacentral:rRNA from 1 species